rnacentral:rRNA from 1 species
UACGUAGGGGGCGAGCGUUGUCCGGAUUUAUUGGGCGUAAAGAGCGUGUAGGCGGCCAGGGAGGUCCGUUGUGAAAACUCGAGGCUCAACCUCGAGACGCCGAUGGAAACCCCCUGGCUAGAGUCCGGAAGAGGAGAGUGGAAUUCCUGGUGUAGCGGUGAAAUGCGCAGAUAUCAGGAAGAACACCCGUGGCUAAGGCGGCUCUCUAGUACGGUACUGACGCUGAGACGCGAAAGCGUGGGGAGCGAACAGG